rnacentral:rRNA from 1 species
CAAUAGCGUAUAUUAAAGUUGUUGCGGUUAAAAAGCUCGUAGUUGGAUUUCUGUUGGGAACGACCGGUCCGCCCAUUGGGUGUGUAUCUGGCUUGUUCUCGGCAUCUUCUUGGUGAACAUUGCUGCACUUGACUGUGUGGAGCGCUACCCAGGACUUUUACUUUGAGGAAAUUAGAGUGUUUCAAGCAGGCAUAUGCCUUGAAUACAUUAGCAUGGAAUAAUAAGAUAGGACCUCGGUUCUAUUUUGUUGGUUUCUAGAGCUGAGGUAAUGAUUAAUAGGGAUAGUUGGGGGCAUUCGUAUUUAACUGUCAGAGGUGGAAUUCUUGGAUUUGUUAAAGACGGACUACUGCGAAAGCAUUUGCCAAGGAUGUUUUCAUUGA